rfam:Gossypium hirsutum cultivar TM-1 chromosome 20, whole genome shotgun sequence
AGACCAUGGUGAAGGCAUUUUUGUACCAGCUACUUUAAUCACUCCCAAGCUUCGUGAAAAUUUUUUCCUCCCAUCUGUUUAAAGGUUGCGAUCUCUCUUCUCAGUUG